CACUUCAGGAAGUGCCAUCCAUGUGGAUAAAAAUAUGAUUGGUACUUCUUAGAGUGGA
rnacentral:pre_miRNA from 1 species